rnacentral:lncRNA from 1 species
UCUCUUUUCUCCUUUGUUUUAUUUGGUUUAAAAAUACCUUUAUGCAUUUUAAAGUUCUGAAAAUUUUAUUUUAUGCUUCUUAUUUUAUUUCCAAUCUUCCGUAAUUUUCUUGGCCAUUUAUUUGGUGUUUUGAAUGACUUUAUGGUUUUUCUCUUUUAUUUCCCUUUUAAAAUUCAUUUUAAAUUUUUUUUGACUCAUUUUAUUUUAUUUUAUUUCAUUUUAUAUUUGUUUAACCUUUGUUGACUUUCGUUAGCCUUGGAACUUAGUUGAUUUGAUCAUUGGUCUCAUCAAACUCAAUUGAUCUUGGGUGUUGAUGGGGUGAAAAC